ACAGCACUAGAUGUAAGACUGGGUGACCUCUUCUAAUGUCCAAUGUCCUUUGUCUUAAGAUUUGGUGCA
rnacentral:snoRNA from 10 species